CAUCAGGAUCAUCAGGUCUACAGUGAAAUCAACAUGAAGACUCUCAGCCUGACGGUGGGACUGCUGCUUGUGCUGUUCAUCAUUUACUACGGCGAUGCCACACCUCAUGGAGUGAAACCAACACCUGACCUUUGCUGUUUUAAAUUCUAUGAGAGAAAGAUCCCAACAAAGCAGAUCAAAUCCAUCAAAAAAACUCACAGCAAAUGCACGACACCAGCAUUUGUGAUCAAGACACCCAGAGGGGAUUUCUGCGUGAGACAGAAUGAGAAUUGGGCACUGAAAGAAUUUGUCCAAAGAAAAUAACACAAUUAAGAGAUGGAGAAUCUACCGCGCAAUAAGCCGAACUGCAUCAAUUACUCCAUGAAUUUGCUUUUUAAUCCAGAUGUAUUGCUGGAGUUUUGACCUCUCCAUAAUGUGCCUGCUUAAUUACUGUCAGCAUUUCUGAAGACAAGAUACAUUUAUUAUGCAUUGAUUUAAUUCAAAAUAAAGAUAUCAAUUUUAGAAUUUGAAUGAAAUGUUAAAAAUUAUUUUUCUGAGGUUUUCUGUUUCGUUGCCACAGGUAUAUGAAAUCAAACACAUCUUUACAAUUGGCAGUCUUUACAAGCAUUUGUGAAAGAAUCAGUCGCUUUGAAGACUAUGAGACUUCUGUCUUUGAAAUACCACAAUCAUCUGAAAGUGAAAGCAUUCAGUGGCAGAUUGGAUAAAGUUACAUGGUGGGGAGAGUGCAGAGACAGAGGGCUUUAAAAACGUCUCCAGUGCACUGCUGACUCAGCAUCAUGUGUUUCCAUGGCCUGUGGGUGUAGCGUGUAGGUGGCCCAAACUUUUGUCCACACUGCCUACAUUCACUUACAGCAUGUUGUCCCAGCUUGAUGUGACAAACUUGUCACAUGUCCCAAAGAGCGCUGCUAGGCUUUCUUUGGUCUUGGAGAUGUUCUUCAAAGCUCUGAGGUGUGUUUUGGGCUCAUUAACAUUCUGCUCUGUAACUUACUUUCCCACAAACAUCCAAAUCACAGUCGAAGUGCAUUUCUCAAGAAUGCAGUGCCACUUGUCCUCAGUCAGGGUGCAGUUGAUUUCAGUUCAGGUUACCACCUGUAGAGCAGGAAACACCUCCUUAUAUUCCACUUUAUUUUCCUGCUGCUUAUCUCAUACUGAGCUGUCGUUAAUUUGAAAUAUUUUUGAUUUUGCAGACUUUGAGGUUAUUUCCAGGUUCAGAUUUGUUUUCACUUUGCCAUUGUGAUACAGAUGCAGUAUAUCCAAAGCAUUUGUAUCUCACUUUGUAUUGUUUUGCUUCAUUCUUGAAUAAAA